rnacentral:rRNA from 1 species
UACAGAGGUCUCAAGCGUUGUUCGGAUUCAUUGGGCGUAAAGGGUGCGUAGGCGGCGAAGCAAGUCAGAUGUGAAAUCCCGGGGCUCAACCCCGGAACUGCAUCCGAUACUGCCAUGCUAGAGGAUUGGAGAGGUAGCUGGAAUUCUUGGUGUAGCAGUGAAAAUGCGUAGAGAUCAAGAGGAACACUCGUGGCGAAAGCGAGCUACUGGACAAUUCCUGACUGAGGCUCGAAGGCUAGGGUAGCGAAAGGG